CCUCCCGAGUGCUUGCACUCAAUUGGAAAGAGGAGUGGCGGACGGGUGAGUAACACGUGGGUAACCUACCCAUCAGAGGGGGAUAACACUUGGAAACAGGUGCUAAUACCGCAUAACAGUUUAUGCCGCAUGGCAUAAGAGUGAAAGGCGCUUUCGGGUGUCGCUGAUGGAUGGACCCGCGGUGCAUUAGCUAGUUGGUGAGGUAACGGCUCACCAAGGCCACGAUGCAUAGCCGACCUGAGAGGGUGAUCGGCCACACUGGGACUGAGACACGGCCCAGACUCCUACGGGAGGCAGCAGUAGGGAAUCUUCGGCAAUGGACGAAAGUCUGACCGAGCAACGCCGCGUGUGUGAAGAAGGUUUUCGGAUCGUAAAACUCUGUUGUUAGAGAAGAACAAGGACGUUAGUAACUGAACGUCCCCUGACGGUAUCUAACCAGAAAGCCACGGCUAACUACGUGCCAGCAGCCGCGGUAAUACGUAGGUGGCAAGCGUUGUCCGGAUUUAUUGGGCGUAAAGCGAGCGCAGGCGGUUUCUUAAGUCUGAUGUGAAAGCCCCCGGCUCAACCGGGGAGGGUCAUUGGAAACUGGGAGACUUGAGUGCAGAAGAGGAGAGUGGAAUUCCAUGUGUAGCGGUGAAAUGCGUAGAUAUAUGGAGGAACACCAGUGGCGAAGGCGGCUCUCUGGUCUGUAACUG
rnacentral:rRNA from 1 species